rnacentral:rRNA from 1 species
GUCCACGCCGUAAACGAUGCGCACUGGGUAUGAUGGGUUUUGACGCCCGUCGUGCCGCAGCAAAAGUGCUAAGUGCGCCGCCUGGGGAGUACGGCCGCAAGGCUAAAACUCAAAGGAAUUGACGGGGGCUCACACAAGCGUGGAGCAUGUGGAUUAAUUCGAAGCAACGCGAAGAACCUUACCGGGUUUGACAUGUACGGAUACCGUCCAUGAAAGUGGAGCCGGUUGCCUUCGGGUGAAACGUACACAGGUGCUGCAUGGCUGUCGU